UACGGGGGGGGCAAGCGUUGUUCGGAAUUACUGGGCGUUAAAGGGCUCGUAGGCGGCCAACUAAGUCAGACGUGAAAUCCCUCGGCUUAACCGGGGAACUGCGUCUGAUACUGGAUGGCUUGAGUUUGGGAGAGGGAUGCGGAAUUCCAGGUGUAGCAGGUGAAAUGCGUAGAUAUCUGGAGGAACACCGGUGGCGAAAGGCGGCAUUCCUGGACCAACACUGACGCUGAGUGAGCGAAAGCCAGGGGAGCAAACGGG
rnacentral:rRNA from 1 species